AUUGAACGCUGGCGGCAGGCCUAACACAUGCAAGUCGAACGAGUGGCGGAGGGGUGAGUAAUGUCUGGGAAACUGCCUGAUGGAGGGGGAUAACUUCUGGAAACGGUAGCUAAUACCGCAUAACAUCAGAUGUGCCCAGAUGGGAUUAGCUAGUUGGUGGGGUAACGGCUCACCAAGGCGACGCUCCCUAGCUGGUCUGAGAGGAUGACCAGCCACACUGGGACUGAGACACGGUCCAGACUCCUACGGGAGGCAGCAGUGGGGAAUAUUGGACAAUGGGCGAAAGCCUGAUGCAGCCAUGCCGCGUGUAUGAAGAAGGCCUUCGGGUUGUAAAGUACUUUCAGCGGGGAGGCGUUACCCGCAGAAGAAGCAACGGCUAACUCCGUGCCAGCAGCCGCGGUAAUUC
rnacentral:rRNA from 1 species